UGGGGAAUAUUGCACAAUGGGGAACCGUAGCUGCAGCCAUGCCGCGUGUAUGAAGAAGGCCUUAGGGUUGUAAAGUACUUUCGGUGAUGAGGAAGGUACUUGGUCUAAUAGGCCAAGUAAUUGACGUUAAUUACAGAAGAAGCACCGGCUAACUCCGUGCCAGCAGCCGCGGUAAUACGGAGGGUGCGAGCGUUAAUCGGAAUGACUGGGCGUAAAGGGCAUGUAGGCGGAUGAUUAAGUUAGGUGUGAGAUCCCCCGAGCUCAACUUGGGAAUUGCAUUUAAAACUGGUCGUCUAGAGUAUUGUAGAGGAAGGUAGAAUUCCACGUGUAGCGGUGAAAUGCGUUAGAGAUGUGGAGGAAUACCGGUGGCGAAGGCGGCCUUCUGGACAGAUACUGACGCUGAGAUGCGAAAGCGUGGGGAGCAAACA
rnacentral:rRNA from 1 species